rnacentral:rRNA from 4 species
ACGGGUGAGUAACGCGUGGGAAUCUACCCAAUUCUUCGGAACAACACAUGGAAACGUGUGCUAAUACCGAAUGAGCCCUUCGGGGGAAAGAUUUAUCGGAAUUGGAUGAGCCCGCGUUGGAUUAGCUAGUUGGUGGGGUAAAGGCCUACCAAGGCGACGAUCCAUAGCUGGUCUGAGAGGAUGAUCAGCCACACUGGGACUGAGACACGGCCCAGACUCCUACGGGAGGCAGCAGUGGGGAAUAUUGGACAAUGGGCGCAAGCCUGAUCCAGCCAUGCCGCGUGAGUGAUGAAGGUCUUAGGAUUGUAAAGCUCUUUCACCGGUGAAGAUAAUGACGGUAACCGGAGAAGAAGCCCCGGCUAACUUCGUGCCAGCAGCCGCGGUAAUACGAAGGGGGCUAGCGUUGUUCGGAUUUACUGGGCGUAAAGCGCACGUAGGCGGACUUUUAAGUCAGGGGUGAAAUCCCGGGGCUCAACCCCGGAACUGCCUUUGAUACUGGAAGUCUUGAGUUCGAGAGAGGUGAGUGGAAUUGCGAGUGUAGAGGUGAAAUUCGUAGA